CCCAGACUACAACAACACCAAAAAGGCGUUCGUUAUCUGGGAAGUACUAUGCCUUGGCUCCCACAUGGUCGCAACCAUUGCUUUGUAUCCGUCGAUGGACUUCCCUGCUGUACCACAUCACUGGGGUGCAUCGAUGGGAAGAAGGGAGCAGUGAGCACACCUGUCUCCACCCCCCCUUGUCUGAUGAGGAGCAAGAGAGAGGGAGGCAACAGGCCACAACUAAAGCAGGUGAACUCUGUUGGUCCUUCCCAUAUUCCAGGCAGUCAGGGGAUUGAGUGUCAAAGCCCAUCUACCAGAAGACGACACAGACCUUCAAAAGGACCCUAAUUGAGCGUGCCUUGGAGAUGAGGGAUGAUGCUAGUAUAGCAUACACAGAGCAGUUCAAGAAGCCACGUUGCAAAAGACUGCUUCAGAAUAUUGCUCCAGUCGCCAGACUA